AACGAACGCUGGCGGCAGGCUUAACACAUGCAAGUCGAACGGGCGUAGCAAUACGUCAGUGGCAGACGGGUGAGUAACGCGUGGGAACAUACCUCUUGGUUCGGAACAACACAGGGAAACUUGUGCUAAUACCGGAUAAGCCCUUACGGGGAAAGAUUUAUCGCCGAGAGAUUGGCCCGCGUCUGAUUAGCUAGUUGGUGAGGUAAGAGCUCACCAAGGCGACGAUCAGUAGCUGGUCUGAGAGGAUGAUCAGCCACACUGGGACUGAGACACGGCCCAGACUCCUACGGGAGGCAGCAGUGGGGAAUCUUGGACAAUGGGCGCAAGCCUGAUCCAGCCAUGCCGCGUGAGUGAAGAAGGCCUUCGGGUUGUAAAGCUCUUUUACCAGGGACGAUAAUGACGGUACCUGGAGAAUAAGCCCCGGCAAACUUCGUGC
rnacentral:rRNA from 1 species